UAGACGCGGACGCGGCUGGCGUUGUGUGUCCUAAAGUGCGGGAAGUGUUUCAUUCAAUCUGCGAUGACGAGUAGACCGACGCGAUCAAAACGACAGACGACGCCAACGACAAGGAAGACCCGGUAGCUUCGGAGAACUAAUCCGAGGCGGGACAAUUCGGAGCAAGACUGGGGACACUACAAGCAGUUUUUAAGUGCCGUUGGCUAGGCCAGAACUAAGACAGAAAUGCUAGAGCUCACGUACGGAACUCGCAAGGUACUUGCUUGUGGCGCUCUCGUUCCAUCUUAGGAUAUCCAGAUCAACCACCGAGCAUGCCAGCUCAACUCAACCUGUACACGAACAUGCCCCUUUAGCUGAGCUUGCUCCGGUCAGCGUUCACGGCAGGACCAGGCUGAUGGCGUAUUUCAACCUGAUGAUGUACACGUUGAUGGACCACAACUCCGCGUCUUCUGGGAGAUAUCAACCCGCAGUCCUUAGAACCGUCCGUUCCGACGCGACCACAACAAGCAGUCGCUGCUGGUACCUGGUACCUGGCCAUGAUCGACUGCCCCGAAAUCGCACUCCUCGGGGCCAACCUUCGGGAAGUUAAUUACUUAGUUGUCCGGAACCAAACCAGGUGUUCGACUUUCUGGACCCAACAGUACCGACUAUGACAACCGGAGCCAUGCUGCCGUGGGCUGCGGAUGUGCUGCCAGCACAGUAGAUUCCUUCCGCGUUAAAUGGCCGUCCCCACAAGAAUUUGCACUGCGCCUUCAUCAAACCAUCCG